rnacentral:lncRNA from 1 species
AUGGGAGCGGGAGGGGUCCUUUUUCUGAGGCUGCCACUACUGGGGGCUUCGUUUUUAGAAAGUUUUGUUCCUUCUAUGGGAACCAAAGAGCUUCCCAUUGGUGCAGUGGAAAGAAUCUGUCUCCCAACGCAGGAGAUGCAAGAGAUGUGGGUUCGAUCCCUGGGUCAGGAAGAUCCCCUGGAGGAGGAAAUGGCAACCCACUCCAGUAUUCUUGCAAGGAAAAUUCUGGGGAUGGAGGAGCCUGGCGGGCUACAGUCCAUGAGGUCGCAAAGAGUCCACGGGUUGCAGAGAGUUGGACAUGACUGAACACACACAAGGGAACAAAAACCGUGUCCCUGGAGCGUCUUUCUACAGAGUUGGAGUCUGUCCUCAGAAGCAGUACAGCUGAACCUCAUCCCUACACCAUAUGGCAGACUUUCAAACCCUUCAAGGUAACUUUCAUUCUUCCCCCAUCCCCUUGGCUAAAUUGGACUCAGAAGGUUUGUCUUCCUGAGUUGGCCUUAGUUUCUCAGAGUCUUUUAAGAAGCAUCCAGAAACAAAAUAUUCAGAAGUCUCGUGUCCUGUGCUGUGUACCAUGCAUGCCAUGUGACUUUAAUCAGAACCCUGGUCAGGAGGAAUCCCAUACUGUGGAGUCAGAUCUCAAUCAUCAAGGAGCAUGGCCUUGGGCAUGUUGAUUUGCCUGUGUCUCAGUUUCCUCAUCUGUAAAAUGGGGGGUAAUAAUAUAUGGCUGUUUUGAUGAUGAAAUGAGUUAAUAUAUGUAAAGCAUUUAGACUAGUUUCAGGUACAUAGCAUGCACUGUUUAUUAUAAGACAAAAAUAAAUGAAGACAAGGUUCCUAAGGACAGGGGCAGUUUCUCAUUGAUAUCUGUUAUCUCCAGAGACUAGCACUGUGCCUGGAAUAUACUUAGGGCUAAAUAAAUUGGGUAUAUGGACGAGUGAGUUUCCAUAGUGUUCUGGAAACUAGGUGCAGACAGAUAAUAUAAGCAAUGCUAUGGUUUCCAAUGCUAACAGAUUUUCAGUUCCAUUCAGUUCAGUCUUGUCUGACUCUUUGCAACCACAUGGACUGCAGCACACCAGGCUUACCUGUCCAUCACCAACUCCCAGAGCUUGCUCAAACUCAUAUCUAUUGAGUCCGUGAUGCCAUCCAACCAUCUCAUGAAACUGUACACCAUUCAACCUCAGGCCAUCAUCAGACUGGUUAUUUUGUCCCUAAUUUUUCUAGGAACUGUCAUCAUUGUCACCAGUGUCUUUACUGAUACUAAUCUGUUAUGUCUCGGUUUAGCUCAGAAGACCAGAAAAAUCAGACACUGAAGUUUACUCUCAACACAGAAAAAGGGCAAGGGUACUGUUAAGUUUUGCCUGCACCAAGGGGAGAGUGAACACUAUUUUUGGCAUGCAAAGUCUCUAACCCAAGAAUCCUAGCGUUCCUCACUCAGAUCUUUGUGUUUAAACUUUUGUAGAUUACUUAGCCAUAGGCAAACUCAUUCCAGAAGACAUGCUAAACAAUUUAAACGUUUGAAAAGGCGUCCACAUCCACAGCGUGGAAGUUUCCGCAUCUGCGUACCUUUCCAUUAACACCCACAACGAAGUGCUAACAUCAGGGUAGGUCUUGUUUUAAGUGCAUAGCAACAUAAUGCCCGCCCCUCCUCCCGCCUCCUCCUCUUCAGUUUCCGGUGUUAAACCAAGUUCUCCUCGGGUUGCAAAUUUAAAUCAUUCAGAGAUACCUUUUACAGGGAGUUCUCUUUGAACUUCUGUCCAGGCUAAUUCAAACCCGUUCGGUAUUUUCCUCCUUCUCCAUUAAUACAGUGGAGCUCAAAGAAGAAAAUUCACCAGUGUUUUCUCCUUUGUACGUGUUCAAUAGGUACCCCUGCAGCAAUAACCUGGAGG